rnacentral:rRNA from 1 species
UUAUAUUUGAGAGUUUGAUCCUGGCUCAGGAUGAACGCUGGCGGCGUGCCUAACACAUGCAAGUCGAGCGGAGAUAGUGUUUAACACUGAGUAUUUAUUUAAAAUGCUAUCAGCUAGCCGCGUCAAGCAUGCGAUAGCGAGCUUUUCGCAAAUUAUGAAUAACACAUAAUAAGUAUUGAGUGUUAAACACCAUCUCAGCGGCGGACGGGUGAGUAACGCGUGGGUAACCUGCCCUGUACACUUGGAUAACACACCGAAAGGUGUGCUAAUACAAGAUGAUAUCAAAGGAAGGCAUCUUCUUUUGAUCAAAGCUUUUGCGGUACAGGAUGGGCCCGCGUCCCAUUAGCUAGUUGGUGGGGUAACGGCCUACCAAGGCGACGAUGGGUAGCCGACCUGAGAGGGUGAUCGGCCACACUGGAACUGAGACACGGUCCAGACUCCUACGGGAGGCAGCAGUGGGGAAUAUUGCACAAUGGGCGAAAGCCUGAUGCAGCAACGCCGCGUGAACGAUGAAGGCCUU